rnacentral:lncRNA from 1 species
GGAAUCUUGGGUGUUAAUUUAUCUGUUGUAUUUCUUAGUGGCUCUGAAUAAACACAGAAAAGAAUUUAGAUGCAAGUCAUGUAAAGAGGCCAGGAUGAGCUUCCAAGCAUUCAGAAUCUUACAAUGAUGGUGGUGCUAGAUCGGUAUUUGAUGGAGGGAUGAUCUGAUGCUGUGACAGACCAAGUGUGGACUAGCCUGGAUCUGCAUCUUCUUGCUGGGAGAGCCAUCUCGGUAGUCAUUCUCUCUACUGGGAAAUGGACUUAUUUAUCUACUUACUGGAAGUUUGAACCAAUUCCACAUGCCCUCUCAACCUCAGGGAGUCAUGAGGACCGCUAUUAUACAUACAGGCUUUCAGGGACGAUGUCUCUGAUGAGACAUUUGAGCAGAGACCUGAGGAAAGAGAGAGAAUGAACCACGCCACUCUUUGGGGACUCCAACAAGCACAAAGACUCUGAGGACAGAAUGCGGCUGGUAUGUUCAAGGAAUGGCAAGAAACCAGGUGGCCGAAGCAGAAGAAGGGAAGGGGAUACAAGAGCUGAUUAGGUGAGAGGAGCAGCAAGUCCCGAGGUGGGGGACAAACACGUGAACUUUGGAGGUGUGUAGUACCUGUUUCUGUCACGUUCCUCCACACUAGGUGAGCUGAGCUCUGUCCAGGUGAUUCCAGAGCCUUUCCCACCAUAGUCUCCUCUUCCGCAGAAGGACUUGGUGAGGCUAUCAGAUAAGCACUCCUGUCAUCAGCAUGACAGGAGGAAAAUAACCACCCACGGUGAUAGCAUUUAACCAAGCUAAACAGUAUAAGAUAACCUUCAUUUCCAAAGCUGACAAGCAAAAUUACGGGGAUCAGCUGUAAGGGGGAGGGGGCAAAAAAGCUCGAGAUCAUUAUUUCCACAUCUAACAUUAGCAUCUGGAAAACACAGUAUGUCUAUAAAAUGACAGUGCCAAAGAUAACCAUCGUGU